UCAAAAUAAUGCAAGUCGAACGCGCAGCGAGAGGUGCUUGCACCUUUCAAGCGAGUGGCGAACGGGUGAGUAACACGUGGAUAACCUGCCUCAAGGCUGGGGAUAACAUUUGGAAACAGAUGCUAAUACCGAAUAAAACUUAGUAUCGCAUGAUAUCAAGUUAAAAGGCGCUACGGCGUCACCUAGAGAUGGAUCCGCGGUGCAUUAGUUAGUUGGUGGGGUAAAGGCUUACCAAGACGAUGAUGCAUAGCCGAGUUGAGAGACUGAUCGGCCACAUUGGGACUGAGACACGGCCCAAACUCCUACGGGAGGCUGCAGUAGGGAAUCUUCCACAAUGGGCGCAAGCCUGAUGGAGCAACGCCGCGUGUGUGAUGAAGGCUUUCGGGUCGUAAAGCACUGUUGUAUGGGAAGAAAUGCUAAAAUAGGGAAUGAUUUUAGUUUGACGGUACCAUACCAGAAAGGGACGGCUAAAUACGUGCCAGCAGCCGCGGUAAUACGUAUGUCCCGAGCGUUAUCCGGAUUUAUUGGGCGUAAAGCGAGCGCAGACGGUUGAUUAAGUCUGAUGUGAAAGCCCGGAGCUCAACUCCGGAAUGGCAUUGGAAACUGGUUAACUUGAGUGUUGUAGAGGUAAGUGGAACUCCAUGUGUAGCGGUGGAAUGCGUAGAUAUAUGGAAGAACACCAGUGGCGAAGGCGGCUUACUGGACAACAACUGACGUUGAGGCUCGAAAGUGUGGGUAGCAAACAGGAUUAGAUACCCUGGUAGUCCACACCGUAAACGAUGAAUACUAGGUGUUAGGAGGUUUCCGCCUCUUAGUGCCGAAGCUAACGCAUUAAGUAUUCCGCCUGGGGAGUACGACCGCAAGGUUGAAACUCAAAGGAAUUGACGGGGACCCGCACAAGCGGUGGAGCAUGUGGUUUAAUUCGAAGCAACGCGAAGAACCUUACCAGGUCUUGACAUCCUUUGAAGCUUUUAGAGAUAGAAGUGUUCUCUUCGGAGACAAAUGACAGGUGGUGCAUGGUCGUCCUCAGCUCCUGUCCUGAGAUGUUGGGUUAAGUCCCGCACCAGCGCACCCCUUAUUGUUAUUUGCCGCCAUUCAGUUGGGGACCCUAACGAGAAUGGCGGUGACAAACCGGAGGAAGGGGGGGACACAUCCAAAUAUCAUGCCCCCUAUUAACUGGGGUACACCCUGCUAAAAGGGGGGAAAAACAAAUUGCCACCCGGCGAAGGGAGCAAAUCCUUUAAA
rnacentral:rRNA from 1 species